rnacentral:rRNA from 1 species
UACGUAGGUGGCAAGCGUUAUCCGGAUUUACUGGGUGUAAAGGGCGUGUAGGCGGGACUGCAAGUCAGAUGUGAAACCCAUGGGCUCAACCCAUGGCCUGCAUUUGAAACUGUAGCUCUUGAGUGAUGGAGAGGCAGGCGGAAUUCCGUGUGUAGCGGUGAAAUGCGUAGAUAUACGGAGGAACACCAGUGGCGAAGGCGGCCUGCUGGACAUUAACUGACGCUGAGGCGCGAAAGCGUGGGGAGCAAACAGG